rnacentral:tRNA from 1 species
GGGUAUAGCUCAGUGGUAGAGGACAUGCUUAACGUACAUGAGGUCCUGGGUUCAAUCCCCAGUACCUCCA